rnacentral:misc_RNA from 1 species
AAGUCAUAACAAGGUAUCUGUAGGUGAACCUGCAGAUGGAUCAUUAGUGAAUAACACGGGGUCUCACUCUGUGAGCCCCAAACCUCUCACAUAUCCACACACCUGUGCACCGUCGAUGAUUGCCGAUCUGCCGUAACACGCGAUCCUGUGAUCAUUGACACCACUUUACACAUUAACCUAUGUAACUGAAUGUCAUUGUAACUACGCAAGUAGAAACUAAAAUACAACUUUUGACAACGGAUCUCUUGGCUCUC